rnacentral:rRNA from 1 species
AGCGCGGGGCAACCUGGCGGCGAGUGGCGAACGGGUGAGUAAUAUAUCGGAACGUACCCUGGAGUGGGGGAUAACGUAGCGAAAGUUACGCUAAUACCGCAUACGAUCUAAGGAUGAAAGUGGGGGAUCGCAAGACCUCAUGCUCCUGGAGCGGCCGAUAUCUGAUUAGCUAGUUGGCGGGGUAAAAGCCCACCAAGGCAACGAUCAGUAGCUGGUCUGAGAGGACGACCAGCCACACUGGAACUGAGACACGGUCCAGACUCCUACGGGAGGCAGCAGUGGGGAAUUUUGGACAAUGGGCGCAAGCCUGAUCCAGCAAUGCCGCGUGAGUGAAGAAGGCCUUCGGGUUGUAAAGCUCUUUUGUCAGGGAAGAAACGGUGGGGGCUAAUAUCCCCCGCUAAUGACGGUACCUGAAGAAUAAGCACCGGCUAACUACGUGCCAGCAGCCGCGGUAAUACGUAGGGUGCAAGCGUUAAUCGGAAUUACUGGGCGUAAAGCGUGCGCAGGCGGUUUUGUAAGUCUGUCGUGAAAUCCCCGGGCUCAACCUGGGAAUUGCGAUGGAGACUGCAAGGCUAGAGUUUGGCAGAGGGGGGUAGAAUUCCACGUGUAGCAGUGAAAUGCGUAGAUAUGUGGAGGAACACCGAUGGCGAAGGCAGCCCCCUGGGUCAAAACUGACGCUCAUGCACGAAAGCGUGGGGAGCAAACAGGAUUAGAUACCCUGGUAGUCCACGCCCUAAACGAUGUCUACUAGUUGUCGGGUCUUAAUUGACUUGGUAACGCAGCUAACGCGUGAAGUAGACCGCCUGGGGAGUACAGUCGC